rnacentral:rRNA from 1 species
GGUUGGGCUGUUCGCCCAUUAAAGCGGCACGCGAGCUGGGUUUAGAACGUCGUGAGACAGUUCGGUCCCUAUCCGCCGCGCGCGCAGGAGACUUGAGAAAGGCUGUCCCUAGUACGAGAGGACCGGGAUGGACGAACCUCUGGUGUGCCAGUUGUUCCGCCAGGAGCACGGCUGGUUAGCUACGUUCGGAAGUGAUAACCGCUGAAAGCAUCUAAGCGGGAAGCACGUUUCAAGAUGAGGUCUCCCACCGGGUUAACCGGGUAAGGCCCCCAGUAGACGACUGGGUUGAUAGGCCGGAGGUGUACAGCAGAAAUGCCCAGCCGACCGGUACUAAUAGGCCGAGGGCUUGUCCCU